UUCAAAGCCUUACUCUUUCCCUUUUCUAUGUUUGUGCUUCUUCUUCUGCCGUAAUUCAUCUCUCUGUAUCUCUCUCUCUCAGAAUCCAAAUUCACACUUAGAAAUUCCGACUAUGAGCGAGCAUGUUACUGGUGGGUUCGAGAUCGGCGAUGAUUGGAUCUGGCCUUUCUAAGAAGGCGACAACUGGUACAGCCGGUCUCUUGUUCCCCAUUGGCCGAUUAGAUCGAUUUCGUAAGAAGGACGAGUACGCCGAACGUGUUGGUGUCUUUGCUUGGAUUUACUUAGCCGCCGAGUAAAUUAGAUCUGUGUAAGUUAUGGAAUUGACUAGAAACACAGAGAGGGAUAAUAAGAAGACUAUGAUUGUAUCACUUCACUUUCAGCUUGCGGUAAGAAACGAUGGGAAGCUGUGUGAGUUAGUUGGUGAUGUGACGAUUUCUAAUGGAGGUGUUGUUGUUCUUAUUCUCGUUCUUGUUUUUUUUUUUUGUUGAAGAAAAUGGAUAAUAAAGCCAGAAAACCCCUUCAUCUCAAGUAAGCUUCUUUCUUUGAUUUUCUUCGUUUCGUUUCCUUUCGUUUCUAAUUGUAAGUCUUCUUUGGUUCAUUAUACAUUUCUUUGUUCUGA